GACGAACGCUGGCGGCGUGCUUAACACAUGCAAGUCGAACGGUAAGGCCCCAGCUUGCUGGGGUACACGAGUGGCGAACGGGUGAGUAACACGUGGGUGACCUGCCCUGCACUUCGGGAUAAGCCUGGGAAACUGGGUCUAAUACCGGAUAGGACCGCACCGUGAGGGUGUGGUGGAAAGUUUUUCGGUGUGGGAUGGGCCCGCGGCCUAUCAGCUUGUUGGUGGGGUAAUGGCCUACCAAGGCGGCGACGGGUAGCCGGCCUGAGAGGGUGGACGGCCACAAUGGGACUGAGAGACGGACCAGACUCCUACGGGAGGCAGCAGUGGGGAAUAUUGCACAAUGGGCGGAAGCCUGAUGCAGCGACGCCGCGUGGGGGAUGACGGCCUUCGGGUUGUAAACGCCUUUCACCAUCGACGAAGGUUUUCUGACGGUAGAUGGAGAAGAAGCACCGGCUAACUACGUG
rnacentral:rRNA from 1 species